AGUCCAGCCGCAGGGGCCACCCGAACAGUCUCUCCUCCUCACAGAAGCCUGGAGCUGGGCAUCCAAGAAGAAGCAGCCUCAUUUGUUUUCUGGUGUCAUCGUAGGUGGCCACCUAUGGCUUUUGGGAAUGUAAAAAGGGCAGCUCUCUGGCAUGUUCCUGACUGAGGAUCUCAUAACAUUUAACUUGAGGAACUUCCUCCUUUUCCAGCUUUGGGAGUCAAGCUUCUCACCUGGGGCGGGUGGGUUCUGCACCACCCUCCCACCCUCCUUCCUCCGUGUGGACGAUAGAGCCACAUCCAGCACCACGGACAGCUCCCGGGCGCCUUCAUCUCCUCGUCCUCCAGGCAGCACAAGCCAUUGUGGAAUCUCCACCAGGUGUACAGAACGGUGCCUCUGCGUCCUGCCACUCAGGACCUCUCAAGUCCCCGAUGUGAUGGCUCCUCAGCAUGAUCAGGAGAAAUUCCAUGAUCUUGCUUAUUCCUGUCUUGGGAAGUCCUUCUCCAUGUCUAACCAAGAUCUAUAUGGCUAUAGCACCAGCUCUUUGGCUCUUGGCUUGGCAUGGCUAAGUUGGGAGACCAAAAAGAAGAAUGUACUUCAUCUGGUUGGGCUGGAUUCCCUCUGAUAAGCCUUCCCAGUUGACUGAAAGAUGAGGCUAGGCUCUAGCAAGUUGAAGUCAAACCAGCUCCUUCAAGAAGCUUUGAGCAGAAUGAAGUGGGGAGGACCCAGCUUCCAGCCCAGGAAGCCCACUGUACCUGGAGCCAUCUGGGAUAAGACUUUGACCCAUGACUCCCAUAUCCACAGCCUGUCCAUCCUAGCCCAUCCCAGUUUAUCCUGUAUCAUUUGAGCUGGGAUUCCCACAUCCUCUGAGUUGGAAGUCCCAUCUCAAGUCUUCAAUAAAGACUCUUGAAUAUUGAAUCACA
rnacentral:lncRNA from 1 species